rnacentral:lncRNA from 10 species
CUCAUGGAAGUUUUGGGCUUGCUUGGAGGAAAAAAAAUUAAAAACAGCAGCUUUCUUCAGGCAAACCAAGGGUGGAGCAACACCGUCAGUCAGAAGGCAGCGGAUGGCACAGGGCUUCCGCGUAAGGCCUGCAUCGCCUGAGUCAUGGUUUUCUCAUCUUGUAUGAGGCCCACCCCCUUCAAAAGGUUGUGACAAAAAAAACAACUGAGAUAAUUUGUGCCGCUGGCACAUAGUUAACACUCAAUAAGGCCGGGCGCAGUGGCUUACACCUCUAAUCCCAGCACUUUGGGAGGCUGAGGCAGGUGGAUCACUUGAGGCCAGGAGUUCGAUACCAGCCUGACCAACAUGGUGAAACCCCAUCUCAACUAAAAAUACAAAAAUUAGCCAGGCAUGGUGGUGUGCACCUGUAGUCCCAGCUACUUGGGAGCCUGAGGCAGGAGCAUCUCUUGAACCCGGGAGGUGGAGGUUGCAGUGAGCGGAGAUGGCACCACUGCACUCCAGCCUGGGCGACAGAACAAGACUCUGUCUCAAAACAACAACAACAACAAAAUAAUAAAUGGUGACCACAAGGGAUGAUCGUUUUUCUAUUAUAAUUCCUAUCAUCUCACUGUUCAAAUGAAUCACAGGACCCUAGACAGUCAGAAUCAAGACACCAGCAGGGACCAACCUAGGCCAACCUUCCCACUAAACUGAAGAAACAGGCCCAGACCGAGGGCUGCCCUAAGGCCUCACAGUCCAUCUGCAGCAGG